AAUAAAUGUUCAGACAUGUCCGGGCAAAACACGAGAAGAAAGUACAGUAGCCAAUCAUACAGCAAGGCUAGACCAACAACCAAUCAGGGUUUUAUGAUGUGUGUCGUGUUUGUUUUAUUGUUUUACCCAAAUGUAUAAAAAUCCCAGUGAAACAAGCAGAGGAUCUUUUUUUUAAAAAAAAAGUCUAGGUUGCGUGAAACACAGCGGACCCUUUUCUACAGCUUUUACUGCGGACAAUGGCCUCAAUUAACGGUAAGCGUGCCUAAACUAUAUUGGAUAACAUUGCUCUCUAGAUACUUAAUUUUUCUCAGAAAAAACAUUCUAAAAACAACAACUACAAAAAAAAAAAAAAAGUAUUUCUCAUUAGGUACAGCUGCUGACGAUUCCGGAGUUGAAAACCGUGCCCCUGCACCCCGCUGCAGCAGCCCUGCAGCACAAAGACGCUCACUUUCGUUGAAAAGGCGCAGAACAGACCCUCCAGCCUCUGCUGCUGCUAGAGAUUUUAUACCUGCACAGCGCAGGCCACUGAGACCC